CAGCUUUGCACCUAAUAGUUUACCACUCUAAGACAUCAAAAAGUUUCUCAUACGGACAUACAUUAUCCAAAGAAGAGUGAGAUGUCAAUUCAACCUAUCCAGCUAUUUUACUUUAUUUCAGUCCUUACUGAAUUUUUCUAUAGAAAUUG